UACGAAGGGGGCUAGCGUUGCUCGGAAUCACUGGGCGUAAAGCGCACGUAGGCGGAUUGCUAAGUCAGGGGUGAAAUCCUGGAGCUCAACUCCAGAACUGCCUUUGAUACUGGCGAUCUCGAGUCCGGGAGAGGUGAGUGGAACUGCGAGUGUAGAGGUGAAAUUCGUAGAUAUUCGCAAGAACACCAGUGGCGAAGGCGGCUCACUGGCCCGGUACUGACGCUGAGGUGCGAAAGCGUGGGGAGCAAAC
rnacentral:rRNA from 1 species